CCCCUCCUCCCCACUCUCCACGGUUCCCCCGGUAACGGAGCACACCUGGUUCACGUCGCAGUGAAAACAGACGAUGGACGGACAUGAAGCUGCGGAGUGUUUUGGCUUUACUACCAUUUCUGAAGCCACCUGACGGCUUAUUCCACCAGUACAGAUAUUCCAGUACAAAUAUUCCAGUACAAAUAUUCCAGUGCAGCUCCUGGGACUUGUUCCAGGAUAAAAACUAAAAAUACUGAUGGUGACAGAACGUCAUGCUUCGGUAACGGAAUAAUAUCUGCUUUGAAAUGAAAAGGAAGACAGCGUCGUUCAGGAGGAGCAGAAAGUGGAAACUGAAGAACCUGCCAUCCGGGAAGCAGGUAGAGAAAUAUUCAGCAGAACAGAACCUGGACAGAAUGAGGAGAACAAGUCUAGCCCUAACGCAUCCGUGAUUUAAACAAAUCCAGAGCCACAUGAAGAAGAAGCAGCAGCAGCAGAGCCACAGCCGGCCUCACCCUCUCCACCUCCCAGUCCUGAACCGGUGAAGAACUCUGAGCCAGAACCAGAACCAGGACUAGAACCAGAGACCAAGACCCAGGAAGCCGGUCCAGAAGCUGUGACCCAGCAGCCGCAGAAAAAAGAAGACGGUCCAACUGCUAACUCUGAGAAACCUGCUGAAAAAGAGGAGGAAGCUACUGGGGAUGGCUGUGGUGCUCCAGUCAGCUGUGAUGCACUUAAGAGCUGCCUGAUGCGCAUCCCUCACACCUCCGAGUGCCUCGGCAACCUCAACGCUUUCUUCAAAGAGAACGGCAUCUCUCCUCCCGCUAUACCUUCCAUGCCUAAAAUACCCACCAAACUGUCUGACGUCACCCAGUACCUACCCUCCCUGCCCCCGGAGUUACGCCAAGAGCUCUCCCACAUCCGCCUCACCCAGGUUCCCCGAAACA